rnacentral:rRNA from 1 species
GACGAACGCUGGCGGCGUGCCUAAUACAUGCAAGUUGAGCGCUGAAGGUUGGUACUUGUACCGACUGGAUGAGCAGCGAACGGGUGAGUAACGCGUGGGGAAUCUGCCUUUGAGCGGGGGACAACAUUUGGAAACGAAUGCUAAUACCGCAUAAAAACUUUAAACACAAGUUUUAAGUUUGAAAGAUGCAAUUGCAUCACUCAAAGAUGAUCCCGCGUUGUACUAGCUAGUUGGUGAGGUAAAGGCUCACCAAGGCGAUGAUACAUAGCCGACCUGAGAGGGUGAUCGGCCACAUUGGGACUGAGACACGGCCCAAACUCCUACGGGAGGCAGCAGUAGGGAAUCUUCGGCAAUGGACGAAAGUCUGACCGAGCAACGCCGCGUGAGUGAAGAAGGUUUUCGGAUCGUAAAACUCUGUUGGUAGAGAAGAACGUUGGUGAGAGUGGAAAGCUCAUCAAGUGACGGUAACUACCCAGAAAGGGACGGCUAACUACGUG